rnacentral:rRNA from 1 species
UACGAAGGGGGCUAGCGUUGUUCGGAAUUACUGGGCGUAAAGCGUGCGCAGGCGGCUUCUCAAGUCAGGGGUGAAAGCCCAGAGCUCAACUCUGGAAUUGCCUUUGAGACUGAGUGGCUCGAGUACGAGAGAGGUGAGUGGAAUUCCCAGUGUAGAGGUGAAAUUCGUAGAUAUUGGGAAGAACACCGGUGGCGAAGGCGGCUCACUGGCUCGUAACUGACGCUCAUGCACGACAGCGUGGGGAUCAAACAGG